rnacentral:rRNA from 1 species
CCUACGGGGGGCUGCAGUAAGGAAUAUUGGUCAAUGGACGAAAGUCUGAACCAGCCAUCCCGCGUGCAGGAUGAAAGCCCUAUGGGUUGUAAACUGCUUUUAGCAGAGAAGAAAAGCUGUCAUUAAUGAGAGUCUGACGGUAUCUGCAGAAUAAGCACCGGCUAACUCCGUGCCAGCAGCCGCGGUAAUACGGAGGGUGCGAGCGUUACUCGGAAUUACUGGGUCGAAAGGGUGCGUAGGCGGAGGAGGAGAAAUCUUGUCGCUUAUCGAUACAAUUGCCAAUGAUACUGGUACUCUUGAAUUGGGUUGAGGUUAGCGGAAUGUGACAUGUAGCGGUGAAAUGCAUAGAUAUGUCAUGGAACACCCAUUGCGAAGGCAGCUAACUGGGCCUUGAUUGACGCUGAGGCACGAAAGCGUGGGUAGCGAACAGGAUUAGAUACCCGAGUAGUC